AUGGGUCGUGGGUGUCCUGCUCGCCAAUCGCGAUCUGGAAAAAGAAACCCUACACCCACGAGCCAAUCCCGCAGCCGCCUCCCCCGCUUCCUCCGCAAUCCCGCAGCCGCCUCCCCCGCAUCCUCCGCGCCUCUCCCUGUGCCACCCAUCUCCUCCCUGCUGUGCUGGCCAUCGCACCCUCGCCAUCGACGAUUCAUGCGGCCGACAGCGAGCGCCGGUGAGCGACCGGGAGGCCGCCACCUCUCCUGGCCUCCUCCCAGAGGUUCCCGAUCUGGAGCGGCGAGGCCAACCCCCUCUUCACACGCAGAGCUCGAGGCAGAGAUGGCGGAGCUCGGGCUGGAGCGCUCACGGGAUGACGGAUUCAAGGGCUGGAGCGCUCACGGGAUGGAGGUGCUCAGGCUAGAGGCAGGGGAGGACGCCCUACGGGCGAGCUGGAGGGGAUGGGAAGAGGCCUGGAGUUGCUCAGCAUCGGUUCUGUCAACCUGCAAGGUGGUUUGCUCGACCACUCACCGUCGGUUCUGUCAAUAUGCAAGGUGA
rnacentral:rRNA from 1 species